UUAUAUUCAAGAUUAUAUAUCGCGUAAUUAUUAUUAAACUGAUUUAUCUUAAGUUUUCGUUAAAUGUUUUUUUUUCUUUUUCUUUCUUUUCUUUUUUUUUUUUGUAUAAAUUGUUUGGCAUUUGUAUUAUAAAAAUGUAUACCCCCUUUGUACAUAUUGUUUUCAAGUUGAUUUUCUUUUUCUUUCUUUUUUUUUUUUUUUAUACUAACAAUACAAACGAAGCUCUUAAAGGAAUUGUAUUGUACAUUUUACGUGUAUGCACUACAGUUCGCUGUGAAUAUCGUUGUGUGUACGAAGCAUUGGAAUAAAGUUCCAUAUCAAGAAAUAAUCAAUCUCUUUUCGCACCUAAUUCAAAUUUGAUUUAUCAUACGUUAUUUGUGUAUGUAUAAUGUAAUAGAAUAUAUAAACCAUUUGGAAGAUUCACACAGGCUCGACUUCCAUACUUUCCACGUGAUCGAUAGAUUGCUUAAGUGAAAAUUUUUUCUCUUGCAUCUUCUUAAAAUCAUCAUCUAUUACUUUGGGAUCUACCUUCUGACACAAAUGAUCUACUAUUGUCGCAGCCUAUAACGAAAGAACAGGUGUCCUGUGCAUUAAAGCAAACUGCAUGUAACAUGCUGCUGAACAAAAACAUAAUUCGUCACCGGGUUCUGCUUCUUCCUUACUCAAAAAUGGUAAAUCUGACACUUUUUUUCUUAUUAAGCUAUUU